rnacentral:rRNA from 1 species
GACGAACGCUGGCGGCGUGCUUAACACAUGCAAGUCGAGCGGUAAGGCCCUUUCGGGGUACGACGAGCGGCGAACGGGUGAGUAACACGUGGGUGACCUGCCCUCAGCUCUGGGGAUAAGCCUGGGAAAACCGGGUCUAAUACCGGAUAUGACUCCAUGACGCAUGUUGUGGGGUGGAAAGCCUUGUGCGGCUGAGGAUGGGCCCGCGGCCUAUCAGCUUGUUGGUGGGGUGANGGCCUACCAAGGCGACGACGGGUAGCCGGCCUGAGAGGGCGACCGGCCACACUGGGACUGAGACACGGCCCAGACUCCUACGGGAGGCAGCAGUGGGGAAUCUUGCGCAAUGGGCGAAAGCCUGACGCAGCGACGCCGCGUGAGGGAUGACGGCCUGGUUGUAA